rnacentral:rRNA from 1 species
UACGUAGGGUGCGAGCGUUGUCCGGAAUUAUUGGGCGUAAAGAGCUCGUAGGCGGUUUGUCGCGUCGGCCGUGAAAACUUGGGGCUUAACCCCGAGCCUGCGGUCGAUACGGGCAGACUUGAGUUCGGCAGGGGAGACUGGAAUUCCUGGUGUAGCGGUGAAAUGCGCAGAUAUCAGGAGGAACACCGGUGGCGAAGGCGGGUCUCUGGGCCGAUACUGACGCUGAGGAACGAAAGCGUGGGGAGCGAACAGG